UCAGAGCUCAAGAUGGCCGCCAGAAAUGGGGGGGAUCGGGGACCAAGAUGGCCGCUGGAAGUCAAGAUAUCUGGCCUAAGUGGCCACCAGAAGUGGGGGUACCAGGGCCCGAGACGGCCACCAGAAAUGGGGGUAUGAAAGCCCAAGACAGCCACCGGAAGUGGGGUAUCAGGGUUCAAAAUGGCCACCGGAAGUGGGGUAUCAGGGUCCAAAAUGGCCACCGGAAGUGGGAAUAUUGAGUCUUUCCUACUGUCCCCCAUAGUGGCAGUGCGAUGCCCAGCAGCGCUGCAGGACGCCAUGUUGGAUUUGAGCCCCACGCUCCAGGCCCUGGCACAGGCGGGGCCCGUGGAGCUCCUCCCCCAGGGGGCGGGGCCGGAAGUGGGGCCGGAAGUGGGGCCUGGAUGGGUGGGGGCUCCCACAGGGACCGGCAUCCAUGUCUACAUCUGUCUGCAGGACCUGGUGGACCCCCACUCUGAACGUGCCCGGCUCCACGCCCGCACCCUCAACCUCCAGCACCGCCUCCGUGCCCUCACCCCCAGGGGGGAGGACCCCACAUCCUCCUCCCCCCACCAACGCCAGGUAGGGGGCUCUCAUUAACUAAUUAACAUCGCCAAUUAACCCGUUAACCUUAUUUGUUGGCGGGGGAGGGCUCUUUAUUCACGCUGCUCUCAUUAAUGCCAGGUUUUCUUUUUUCCUUCCCCCCCUUCCUCCCUCCCCCCCCUCCAGGUUUGCAGCCUCCGUUCUGAGCUCGCCCUCCUCACCCUGGCACUGGAAGCUUUGGGACCCCCCCAGGAGGAAGGACGACCCCCCCAGGAUGGAUAAUGCCAAUAAAAACCCCCAUAGGAAAAGCUCUUAACGAGCC
rnacentral:lncRNA from 1 species